rnacentral:sRNA from 1 species
GCUGGGUGUGGUGGCACAUGCCCGUAAUCCCAGCAGCUCUGGAAACUGAGGCAGGAGGAUUGAAAGUUCAAGGCCAGCCUCAAUAAUUUAGUGAGGCCCUAGGCAAUUUAGUGAGAUUCUGUCUCUA